AUACGUAGGGGGCGAGCGUUAUCCGGAUUUACUGGGUGUAAAGGGAGCGUAGACGGCAAAGCAAGUCUGAAGUGAAAGCCCCGGGCUCAACCCGGGAAUUGCUUUGGAAACUGUUUAGCUGGAGUGCAGGAGAGGUAAGCGGAAUUCCUAGUGUAGCGGUGAAAUGCGUAGAUAUUAGGAGGAACACCGGCGGCGAAGGCGGCUUACGGGACUGUAACUGACGUUGAGGCUCGAAAGCGUGGGGAGCAAACAGGAUUAGAUACCCUGGUAGUCCACGCCGUAAACGAUGAUUACUAGGUGUUGGUUGUCAUAGACAAUCGGUGCCGCAGCAAACGCAAUAAGUAAUCCACCUGGGGAGUACGUUCGCAAGAAUGAAACUCAAAGGAAUUGACGGGG
rnacentral:rRNA from 1 species